rnacentral:rRNA from 1 species
UACGGAGGGAGCUAGCGUUAUUCGGAAUUACUGGGCGUAAAGCGCACGUAGGCGGCUUUGUAAGUAAGAGGUGAAAGCCCAGAGCUCAACUCUGGAAUUGCCUUUUAGACUGCAUCGCUUGAAUCAUGGAGAGGUCAGUGGAAUUCCGAGUGUAGAGGUGAAAUUCGUAGAUAUUCGGAAGAACACCAGUGGCGAAGGCGGCUCACUGGCCCGGUACUGACGCUGAGGUGCGAAAGCGUGGGGAGCAAACAGG